CUUGCUGGCGGCCGGACGCGGAGUUGGGGGCGGUUUAGGGAAGGACCGGAAGUGCUGAGCACGGCGGCGGAAUGGUCGGUUGAAUCGCCGGGCCUGGUUUGGGGAGAGUCUGCGUGAGGACGCGGAGCGCGGGCUCCAGGAGCAGCUGAGAAAGCAGCGGCCGGAAGGUGGGGGCGGCUCAGGGCUUGGGACCCGAGCUUGGACACCGCCCGCGCGGUGGACGCCUCAAGCUCCUCUGAGCACCUUGGGCCGCUGCCACACACACACCAUGUUCCUGGUUCGCCUGACUUCGCAGCUGCUCAGGGCUAUUCCCCGGGCAGGGUACAGUCGGCCCUGGCCUGUCUCGAGGGUGCUGGGCAGCCAUGCUUGCAGGCCUCACUUCAGCACACAGCCAACAGGCCCGAGUGGGUUUGUCUCCCUUCCUGGCAAGCGGGUUCACCUGGAGCUUGAGGAGAUGCUGGUCCCCAGGAAGAUGUCUGUCAGCCCCUUGGAAAGCUGGCUGACCAUCCGCUAUCUCCUGCCCAGACUGGACGCUGGGACCCAACUCUAUGAAUGUCCAGCUAGUCACAUGGGCGAAGGGGCUGAGCAGGGGGUCAAGGAGGUGUGGGAGGCACCCCAGAUGCAGUGCAAAAACGUACUAAAGAUCCGCCGGCGGAAGAUGAAUCAUCACAAGUACCGCAAGCUAGUCAAGAGAACGCGGUUCUUGCGGCGGAAGGUCAGGGAAGGACGCCUGAAACGGAAGCAGGUGUUACCUGUUGGCCUCUCUCGUGCUGCCCCUCCGUCCCUCCUCCGACCUGGCGGCCUAAUCCACAGCGGAAAAAAAAAAAAGAAAGAAAAGCUGGAACAAUGGUUGUCACGGGAUAAGAAGCCAACGUCACCAAGGAGACUUCACUUCAUAGAAGCAUUAAUAUCGUCUAACUGCUGGGAUGGGAAAUGUCGAGUUUUACAAAGUUGUAUGAGAAAAAGGCCAAGUGAUAUUUUUAAUCAAGAUGAUCCUGGAUAAAUUAGACGGUUUCCUAAUUCUGCCUUGAAUGGCUGUGUCUUUCCCCUGACGUCACGAACCGUGUGAGACAGUGGAGGAUAAUAUCAUGGGUUUGGGAAGAAUCAGGUUUAUUUACUUACGCAAAGCUUACUUAACUUUCCUAAAUUUCCUGGUCUGGUUUUAUGUCUCAGGAUUUACUCCUGUAACCCAGAUGGAGCUCUGAAUUGUCUGCAUGUCAUUUGCGCACCUGUCGCCGAGGUGCACCUGUCGCCGAGGUGCACCUGUGCAGGGAUUACAGCACACCUCCCCCCUCCCCCCAGCCUGGCCCUCGCUGUGCGAUCUUGCUGCUCCUCCCCCAGGGCUCCCUUGGGUCUGGCUGUGACCUGCUCUUACCAGUAGAAAGAGGCAGAUGCUUCCAAGCUCUGGCCGGAAGGGUUCUGGCAGCUUCUAUCAGUGGAAGGAAGCCUGGCGUAGGCGGCCGAGCGACAGGUCACGUGGUGGGAAGAGGCCGUGUGGACAGAAGACCCGGGUAGUGGCCGCCCCGACCCCCAGUUGCUGGAGUGAAGCCAUGGGGCUCGUCAGCCCCCGUGAGCUACCCCAGCAGCACCAUGUGCCCCAGGACCUGGGCAGCCAGGGACCCUCCUGUGCCUUCCACGAGGGGAGCCACGCUCCUGCUUGUUCUCCGUAAAUCAUUUGGAAUUCUGCGUGAAGAAUUCCAUUUACGUGAGCAGCCACUUAUUUCUGGGAGUGUGACUUUCCAUUUCAGGUUACAGUCCAGCACCCCUGGCUCCAGCUCUUGGCCCUGGGCCCCCACCCCCUUGUUCUUUUUUCUUUUUUUCCCAACACUUCCUUUCCAGCAGUACAGGCUCUCCAGGUUUAUUUAGUAUGUUUCCUCCCAGCCCUAAAGGCGGCCAUUUCUCCAAGGAGCCCUGGUUCCUUUGUUGGAAAACGAUCUUAGAAACCAAGGUCUGGAGCUGGGCAUGCUCACUGCUGCGGGCCUUCGCAGACAACAGAGGUGGCCCUGCAUCAGCACAUCCACCGCCAUUUUCACGCGCCUGUGUUUGUGUCUGCUAACACAAGUUUGUGUCAUUCUCCCUAGCUGUUGCCCAGGGCCACGUGGGUCUUCCCAGCCCCUCUCCUUACCCUCUCGUGUAAUCGCUCAGUUCCGUGUUCCUGUAUGGAGUGUCAGAGCGGAUAAACCACAGCCUCAGGGAAGCAACUCUGUCAGCUCAAAUGAAAACACCAUCCCUUCCCGACUCACCAGGAAGUCAGUGGACAUGGGCAUCUUGUGGGUGAGGUGACUCACAUCUGAUGGAAGUAAAUCGAUGGUUCCUGACUCCUGGCUACAGAACUGAUGAAGUGAUAAGGACGAUGAGGAGACCUUCCUGGCGUGACGGGAAAGAUGGAAAUCCAGAAGCCACCUUGCCACCCGGGGUCUGGCUCCGGUUCAUGAGCAACGUGAGCAGUGUCUGCAUGUUGGUUGGGUGGCCUCCCCACACCUUCUCAAACAGAACAGGCCAGUGGGGAGAGUACAGGUGGGCUGCAGGGCGCCACGGGUCAGGCUCCGGCCACUGCAGUAAAGUGAAUGCCAUGACAAAACGAGGCACACACAUUCUGUGGUUUCCCGGCCUAUGUAAAAGCCACAUUUAUACCAUAAUCUAUUAAGUGCAUAACAGCAUUAUGUCUGAAAAGUGCACGUACAUUAGUUAAAAAAUUUGUUAUCUCUAAAAAAUGCGAACCAUCAUCUGGGCCUUCAGUGAGUCAUAACUUUCUUGCUGGUGGAGGGUUAAAAAUGUGAGAAUUACCAAAAUGUGACACAGAAACCCGGGGUGAGCAAGUGCUGUUGGGAAAACGGCCCUGGUGGGCUUGCCUGACGCAGGGUCCCCACAGACCUUCAGUUUGUAAAAAUGCAUCAUCUGUGAAGCGCAGUAAAGUGAGGCGUGCCUGUUCCCCACUAAAGACACCACGCAGGAAACCGCUUGCUGAGGGUUUGACCACGACUGCUAAAAUCCUUGGUCUUGGGUCCUUGACGGUUUCUCAGGGUGAAGGGGUUGCCUGGUCCAUGAAAUAAUGCUUCUGUGUUUCCAAGUGUUCUUGUCUGUAUUUUCAAAUCAGUGUCUCAAUGCAUCAGUGGUCUCUCAGCCCCAUCUCAGCGUGUCAUCCGACUUGUGGGCCUCCACCAGCAGGGCUGAGAGCCCCCACGGGACGCACAGACCAUCAGACAUGGGAUCUGGAGUCCCCUGGCCCACAGAGUGAGACAGUGCCGUGGCAGACCACCAGGACUCCAGAAGAAGGACCAACACAUGUGCAAGUGACCACCUCUGGGAAGACAGCAGUGUGAGGGUGGAUCGCGGGUGCACUGGUCUGUGGGGCAGCUCCGCCCUCUGGCCUCAGCCUCACGGUGACAGUGGAUCGACACGGUUCUGGAGAAACCCGAGGGGAGCUGUGACUCAGCAGUCUGCCCACAAGCCAGUCCUCAGCCGAGACACCAGUCCCUUUCCUUGUAAGACUUGUGCUUUUGUCUUUUUAAGUCCUGCCCUUGCUUUGUCCUGGGAAGCAGUUGUGUCUGUCUCCUGUUGGCAGCAUGAAAAGUCAACACAAAUUUAGCAGCUUCACACAGCAGGCUUGUUAACCACACAGCUUCCAUGGGUCAGGCUCUGGACGUGCGUUUACCGGGAGCUCCACCCAGGGUCUCACGGGGUCAGACCCGUGUCAGCCAGGGCUGUGUCCUCACCUGCGGUCCUCUUCCAGGCCCAUCUGGGUGGCUGGCAGAACCCGUUCCUAGCAGUUACAGGCCAAGGUCCGUGUUCUUCUUGAUGAAUGAAGUGGGUGGGGCUGCAGCCUCAGGUUUUGGCCACACAGCCGCCUCCAUGAGCCCUUUCACCGCAUGGCCGGUGGGAGAAGCUGACUACUCGGCUAUGAGGGAAACUCGGUCUCUGCAAGUGACAGCCCUGCACCUCUGUUGUGUGGGUGCAAAGGACUACCCCACCACAGUCUCCCCUCCCGCCACUCUAGGGGAGGACCUUGGAGUUCUGUCCACCACCUGGCCCUUGGAGGGUCAUUUUCCUGGUAUGUUCCUGUAAAUCCUGGCAGCUCUAAACAAACUAUCUUGGCAUUUCCUGCAUUACCAGACCACAUCUCUCUUGAUCAUAAACCCCUCAGGCCUCAUCCUGCCGGGUGUGAAUGAGAGCCAGGCCACAGCCCUGCAGACCUCUGCGCCAAGCCCCACCCUCCCUCCCCCUACAGGCAGCUUCCUGGGCGCCGGCCUGGCUGUCCACUUGUGGGGUCGCUCCCUAGGAAGCUGUCUCUGUGAGUCUCGCGUUUCAGAUGAUGUCAUUUAUCUGCGAGCAGGCCUCCUCUAACAGCCCAAAGAGGGCAGGAGUUUGGCAUCCAGUUCGGGGCUGACUCCCAGUGCAUGGCACACAGUGGGUGCACAGGAAGUGUUUGCCGAAUGUUGAACAGCACGUGUGAGCACGUGUCUGUGUGUCAGGUUGUGCUCUUGAGUGCCUGUGGUUUUUCCUCCCCAUGAGCCUGGCUGCCUGGAAUGUCCGAGUCCCCAGGAUUGGAGCCAGACUCUGAUUCUCAGGCUCAGUUGGGCUGGCUGCCCCUCCUCGUCCUGUCCAGCCUCUACUCCUAGGAGAGGGGAUGUGGGUCUGGCUCUGGUCUGGCUGGGGCUGGCCUGGAACUCAGGGGGACCACAGUGAUGUUGGUGGCUGUUCAGUUCCGAUCUGUUCUCUCUUGGGCUCUGCUUCCAUCUAUGACUACUUCCUGCCAAGGACUGGGGAGGUGGGCUCAAGCAGGGAGAGAACAGGGCAGGGAAGAGGGGUUGCAGCAUUCCACUGCAGUGGUGCAAGGGGGUGGGGGUCCUCCUUCAGACUUCUGCUUUUGGGCUGAGCUGAGGGCUGGAUCUGCAGCACGGGGGCGCCACCAGGCCUCAGCACAGGGCCUGAGGCCAGGGGACCUACUGGGAGAGGGAGUUUAGGGUGUGGACCAGGCAGGGAGCGGACCCUGUCCCCUUCCAGGCUGCUGGGCCGGACCUGGGUCAUCUCUGCCUCCCUCCAGCCCUGCUUGGACAUCUUCCCUCCACGAAGGAGAGACAGCCUGGCAGCCAGAGGCAGGAACAGAGGGCAGAGGUGGAGGCCAGCGCAGUAGAGACCGAAGGAGAGAGGCAGACAUGGGUGGGGGCGCAGAGGAAGGCUGGGAGGGAGGCUGCAGUGCUAAUGUAAACCAGUUAGGAAAACAAGGGGGAGAGGCCAGGCCUCAAGGCCAGCCAGGCAGGGCUUGUUUUUCCAGAAUGAAAGGCCCAGGGAGGAGCUAGGGUGGGGUGGGGAGACUAGCCCUGAUUCCAGUUUGGAAAGGGCUCCGCCUCCCAGGGCCUGGAUCUUGCAGACGAAAAUAGGUCCGUUAGGUUGGGGGUGGGGUGUUCUCCCAGCUGGUCCUACCUGUUGUCACCCCUCACUCCCUCCUACUGCAGCAGCAGCAGCAGCCUCCUCCCCUUCCCUGGAGCCAGAGAGUCUGGCUGGGCUGGGCUCCUCACUCGCUCUUCUGAGGACUUGGGGACCAGGGCAGGGUUCAAGAAUGAGACUCCGGCCCACCAGGGCCUGGGACCUGUGACAAUAAUUCAGUCCAAAUGGGCAGUCUGAAAAAUGCAUUGUGGCUUUCUGUG